UCUCCGCUUAUCUGUAGCUGUCACACACACAUAACAGGAAGCCUUGCACUUUCUCAUCCUGUUAACACAAACAAAGACUUUUUUUUUUUUUUUCUUUCUUUGUGAAUUUCAGGCGGUAUCAACGUGUUUAGAAAGGACUUAAGAUGCCUCUGCAUGUGAGAAGAUUACAAGUGACAGGGAGGGCCUGCUUCCCACCCUGAAACCAGCCCUUCGCUCUUAUCCAGGCCGGCUGGUUGCAGCGAUAGGUGCACCACAUGGCUAUCAGGUCACCUCUGGCAGCCUGGGCAGCUGAGGGGAAGAGGGUAUUAUUUGAAAUUUAUUUUUUCCAGUCCCUGAACAGAGACUUGAUGAACUUAGCAAGCCUGAGAGGGACCACGAGGAAAGAGGCACGUGCCUCAAUGCCACCCAGCAACAUAUUGGCAGCUGCAUCUUCAGAUCUUAGCAUACUUCCUAAUCGAUGUGGGAGGGAGCAUUCUUUCAUCUGAGGUUGCCCGUUGAAAGGUACCAGCCUCCAACAUGAGCAGGAAACAACGGCAGAAGAGGAGUCUUGGGAAGCUGGAGAGUCCUAUCUGAAGUCUCAGCACCGUAAUCACUUCCACUGUGCUGCCCAAUAAAUACCACAGAAAAAGUCUACAAUGCACAGGACCCUUCUGGGGGCACAGAGCCAUUGGGAAUACUGACUGCUUAAUGCAGAGGUGGUUCCUGUUUGUGGAAGCAGAGAUGAGAACUGCACACAUGCCAGGGUUCAUCUAACCAGGCCCUAUUUUCCAGCACAGUGCAAAGUAAGAUCGCCCAGGCCUGAGAUAAUCUUAUCAACCCUGGAAAGUUGCUGGAUUCUUUGUUUGUAUUUCCAGUACAUUGGGAUAAUGUUCACUACCCUAAAAUAACAUCCUUAAUUUAGCUAUCAGGAAAUAAAUGUGAUUUUUUUUUAAUAUACA